rnacentral:rRNA from 1 species
UACGGGGGGAGCAAGCGUUGUUCGGAUUUACUGGGCGUAAAGGGCGCGUAGGCGGCCAGCACAAGUCAGUUGUGAAAUCUCCGAGCUUAACUCAGAAAGGUCAACUGAUACUGUGCGGCUAGAGUGCGGAAGGGGCAACUGGAAUUCUUGGUGUAGCGGUGAAAUGCGUAGAUAUCAAGAGGAACACCUGCGGCGAAGGCGGGUUGCUGGGCCGACACUGACGCUGAGGCGCGAAAGCUAGGGGAGCGAACGGG